CAAUUUUACAUAUCUAGUGAUUGGAAGAAUUUCCAAUAGACUGACUCAUACCUCCUUUCCUUUUAGUCUUUGUAUAUAUGGUGCCAUCCACUGCAGGAUGAAGUCACAUUGCAGUGUAACCUCUGGCCCUGCACCUUUACAUGACAGGAUCCCAGAUCUCGGCAUGGUCAAGUGUUCCUGGAGAAAGAAACUGACCUCUUGGCAACAACAACUCUUCGAGAUGGAAGGUCAUUUGAGGACAAAGUGAGAAAAUGGCUGUCUGCAAGCCAGGAAGAGAGGCCUCACCAAAUACCAAUCCUGACAGCAACUUGAUCUUGGACUUCUAGCCUCCAGAGCGGUCAUGCUUUGCAAGACUAUGUUGAGGAUUUUAUUUUAUUCUAAUUAAAAUAAUAUCAACCAUAUCCAAGUCUGUUGUCUUGCCAAAAAGCGUUCUGAAUCUGAAGUCCAGAAUAAUAUCCAGUCUAGUCUUGUACAAUUUGGCUAGUAUUUCAGCCAUGGACAACGUUGCUUUCC